rnacentral:rRNA from 1 species
AGUGGCGGACGGGUGAGUAACACGUAAGAAUUUGCCUUUAGGAGGGGGACAACAACUAGAAAUGGUUGCUAAUACCCCAUAUGCUUUCGAGUGAAAUGGAUUUUUCCGCCUAGAGAGAAGCUUGCGGCUGAUUAGCUUGUUGGUGAGGUAAUGGCUCACCAAGGCGACGAUCAGUAUCUGGUUUGAGAGGACGAUCAGACACACUGGAACUGAGACACGGUCCAGACUCCUACGGGAGGCAGCAGUGGGGAAUUUUCCGCAAUGGGCGAAAGCCUGACGGAGCAAUACCGCGUGAGGGAUGACGGCCUAUGGGUUGUAAACCUCUUUUUUCAGGGAGGAAUCAAUGACGUGUACCUGAAGAAUAAGCAUCGGCUAACUCCGUGCCAGCAGCCGCGGUAAGACGGGGGAUGCAAGUGUUAUCCGGAAUCACUGGGCGUAAAGCGUCUGUAGGUGGUCCAAUAAGUCAACUGUUAAAUCUUGAGGCUCAACCUCAAAAUCGCAGUCGAAACUAUUAGACUAGAGUAUAGUAGGGGUAAAGGGAAUUUCCAGUGGAGCGGUGAAAUGCGUAGAGAUUGGAAAGAACACCGAUGGCGAAGGCACUUUACUGGGCUAUUACUAACACUCAGAGACGAAAGCUAGGGUAGCAAAUGGGAUUAGAUACCCCAGUAGUCCUAGCCGUAAACAAUGGAAACUAGAUGUU